ACGGAAUACAGCAAGGUGUGUUAUUGUUAUGUGUGUAUGCUGUUGAUGCCACGCGUCUAAUUGAUGAAUCUAUAAUACUGUGGGUCAUAGAAGUUACAACAUGAAGAACGACGACCUGGACAACAUGUACGCUGAAAUAUUUGAUCUUAUUCGGAAAGAUGUUAAAAUGCUCAAACUUGACGUAUAAUCAAUUCACAAUAAAAAUUUACAAAACCAAA